AAGGGGGCAAACCCGUGGACCCAACGCCGCGUGGAGGAUGAAGAUCUUCGGGUCGUAAAAUCUUUUCGAUCGAGAGGAAAUCUCCUUGGGCUGUACAAUCCCGGGGGAUGACGGUACCGAGAGAAGAAGCCCCGGCAAACUCUGUCCCAGCAGCCGCGGUAAUACGGGGGGGGCAAGCGUUUUUCGGAAUUACUGGGCGUAAAGGGCUUGUAGGCGCCCAACUAAGUCAGACGUGAAAUCCCUCGGUUUAACCGGGGAACUCCGUCUGAUACUGGAUGGCUUGAGUUUGGGAGAGGGAUGCGGAAUUCCAGGUGUAGCGGUGAAAUGCGUAGAUAUCAGGAGGAACACCGGUGGCGAAGGCGGCAUCCAGGACCACCACUGACGCUGAGGAGCGAAAGCCAGGGGAGCAAACGGGAUUAGAUACCCCGGUAGUCCCGGCCUUUAACGUUGAAGGCUUG
rnacentral:rRNA from 1 species